rnacentral:rRNA from 1 species
UACAGGGGGGGCAAGCGUUGUUCGGAAUUACUGGGCGUAAAGGGUCUGUAGGUGGCCAACUAAGUCAGACGUGAAAUCCCUCAGCUUAACUGGGGAACUGCGUCUGAUACUGGAUGGCUUGAGUGUGGGAGAGGAAUGCGGAAUUCCAGGUGUAGCGGUGAAAUGCGUAGAUAUCUGGAGGAACACCGGUGGCGAAGGCGGCAUUCUGGACCAUAACUGGCACUGAGAGACGAAAGCCAGGGGAGCAAACGGG